rnacentral:lncRNA from 1 species
GCCCGCGCCCAGCCAAUCAAAAUUGGCCUUCUAGGUAUGUGACCUUAGCUGGCAGCUGAUUGGUCCCUCACGAGAGACGCGGGGUCAGCGGCUCAGAGCGCGGCUGUGUGGGGCUGCGGGGCUCCCGCCAUGCCCGCUGGGGUAGGUCCUGCGGACCCCGGCCACUGGAGCCACUCAUCAUUUCCGACGGAUGGGCCGGAGGGGCCGCCGGCCGCCCCAGCCAGGGUCUCGGUAGCCUGCAAGGAGAGAAAGAGGUGGGAGCAGCCCGCGCGGGGCCCUGCGUCUUGCAUAGGCGCUUCUGGUAAAAUCACUCCUUUAUCUCAGAUAAUGAGUUGGCGCUGGAUCGCUGCGUCCUCAGGUGGGGCUCGAAUCGUGACUUUUAGAGAAAUAGGUUUUCUUUCUUUUUUUUUUUUUUUAACAACAUGGGGUUUAAAGGGCGCGGAAUUGGAAGCAGUCGUCACCCGGAGGCCUGGGCGUGCAAGCACCGAAGCUCUGGCUGGCCCUGAGCCUCCCCACCCCACCCGCUCUUUUCGCUGGAACGCGUGUACUUUGGGCAGUUGCUGACGUGGAGACAGGACGUAUGUCUUCAUAUUUUAGUAAAACCCAAUGCCCUCUGCCUCUCUGAUUAUGUUCUUUAAGUUAUCGCCAGUUCCAAUUUGUAUUUCUUGGAAACGGUUGGGUCUUCCCUCACUUUUCAGUAUUUUCAUGUAGACUCAAAUACUCUGGAUUAAUAUUUGUAUUUGCCCAAACCAUCACGAGCACCUCUUACCCUGAUGGGCAAUACUUCAGUGUGCUGCGUUCUGGCCACAGAGCAAACAGGGUGCUCCCAGGCACUGCCCUCUCGGAUUUCUUGCCUUGUUAUUUAAUCAUUAAGAUCGUGACCUAUGAGCAGGACUGUUUCCAGCCAGCACAUACACAUGUCCUCUCCUGGCCAGCAUCCAUGCUGAUUAGACGGUGCCCCUGCCAUACUAGCUGCCUAAUAUUUCAGAUACCCCACCCCGUGUGUGUGUGUAAAUCAUGUCACUGCCCUCUUUGUAGCUAAUGACAAAAUUCCAAGAGUCACCAUUAGCCUAGCACAUUAUGCCUGUCUCAUUUCUGCCCACUUUGGAGCACUCGGCUUCUCUGCUGUUUUCCUCCAGAGCACACUGAAACACUGCCAUAGCACAGCAGGGCAUAGAAGACAGGCUCAUGCUCCCCUGGACGCUCAGGCCUUCACCUCGGGCACACUAGGUCUUGUCAUUCCAUGUCAAGAAUAGCUCUUCACUGCCCUCACCCACCCAAGAAUGGCUAAAAUUAAAAGGACUGACAAUACCUAGUUUGUCGAGGAUGUCACAGCUGGAACCCUCAUACAUGGCUCAUGAAAUUGAUAAAACCACAUUGG